rnacentral:tRNA from 1 species
CAGCUGGUUAGAGCACAUCACUCAUAAUGAUGGGGUCACAGGUUCAAAUCCCGUCGUAGCCA